rnacentral:lncRNA from 1 species
UUGUCAUGCCCUCUCACCCCUUUUCGUCUCUCUCAAACGAAUCAAACACCCCGCCGAAACCCUAGCGCCGCCCACCAUUCCAUCGCCCAAAAACUCGGUGGUCAGUGCUCUGUUCACCGCCAAAAUCACACCCGAAAAUCCCCACGACCUCCCCGUCCCAAAUCACCAACAGUCGUCCUUCGAAUACUGCCAAAAUUACUCGAAUCUUAGAUCGUAGGAUGAACACCAAAAUCCCCAAAUGUCAAACAUCCAAGUUUCUAGGCUUUGAGGCUGAGAUAGACUAUAAUCGGGUGUUUUCAGUCGAAAACAUGCGAUUAAGGUCCGUCUCAGUCCAAGAUAAGCGUCAUAUCAAAGAAGACAAAAGGUUUGAGCCUUGUUAUCGUGGUGGUCUCAUUUUUAGGUAUUUCCUUGUUCUCCUCUUCUUCUGUGUCAUUUUAAUUUUUAGUUUUAUCAGUUAAUUAUCUCCUCCUCUUCUCCAACCUUGUUCUUGGUCCAAAUUUUCUUUUGUUAAUUAUCAUAUGUUAUAAAUGGUUUAAUCGAUUAAAUAAGUUUCGUCCAUUAGUCCAUUAUGUUUGAGUGUUAGCGAUGUUGAUUAUGUUAUAAUGGUUUCCCGAGAUAAGCGGCAUAUCAAAGUUAAAGACAAGAGGUUCGAGCCUUGUUAUCUUGGUGGUCUCAUUUUUAGGUAUUUCCUUGUAUUCCUCUUCUUUUGUUCCAUUUUAAUUUGUCGUUUUCAUCAGUUAACUAUCUCCUCCUCUUAUGCGACCCUGCUCUUGGUCCAAACUUUCUUUUGUUAAUUAUCAUAUGUUAUAAAUUGUUUAAUCGAUUAAAUAAGUGUCGUCGAUUAGUCCAUUAUGUUUGAGUGUUAGCGAUGUUGAUUAUGUUAUACUGGUUUAGUUUUCGGUUUUUAUUUCAUAAUUCAUUCUAGUCUGUUUCUCAUACUACUGUGUGUUGGAAAUGAGCCUGAUGAUAUGUUGGAACUUAGAACCGAGCCUAUUGAUAUAUUCAGUUUAUCUCAUGAACUGAAUUGAUUGCUCAUUUUGUCUGUCAAAUUCCCUUAAUGCUCUUCUGAUUGUUUCUUCUUUUGUUUUCCAAUUCGAUUGGGUGUAUAGUUGGUUCACUUGUUUUUGUUAUAUGUAAGAUUGGUUCCCCAAUACAAAUUAGUUUAAUGAAUGCUAUCAUGAACCAUUGGUCUUCAUGUUUGGUAUCAUUUUUUAUUUGAUUUGAGUUUCUUCUUUGAAUUACUUAUUUUGGACUAAAGAUUGGCUAUAGCUUUUAAUUAUAGAAUGGUUUUAGAUAAUUAGAUGUUUGAUUCUGUUUGCCGAUGUUCUGAAUCAGAACAGUAGCAGUCAGUAGGAUUCAGGGGUAAUUUGGGAAUUGAAAAAUGAGAAAAUGUUCAGUUUGGAAUAGCUGCCAGUUGAAUGGUUUGGGGGCCAUUGAACCAUUGAAUAAUUUAAUUAAAAAGGGGGACUGUGGGGUCCAUGCUGACUACUUUUACUUAAUCGGACAUUAGAAAUAGUAUAGGUAAUAAUAAUAAAGUUAAAAGGUGCACAUAGUUAAAGGAAUAUUCGGCUGGAAAGUAAAAUGAGUAGUAAUAAUCUGUAAAAAGAAAAAGGAAAUGGCCUGAAAUGGGGACUGCUUUAGGUAUAAAAUAUGGGUAAUUUGACAGUUAAUGGGGAGAGAUUUUUGGAAGGAAAAUUUCAGAACUUAAGAGCUCAGGACUGGAUUUUGAAGAUGGAAGUCCAGAGCUUAAAGAGUGAAUUGAGGCUGAACUUUGCAAACAAAGAAAAAUUUUCAAAGUUUAAGUUAAAGGACUGAAUUUUAACAUUAGAAAAUCCAGUAAUUUGAGAGAAAGAAACUGAAAAGUGAGGCCCUUUUUGUUAUCUGAUCAGGAUAGCUUGCUACUAUAUCACUGAAGCUUCACUUCUUUCUUUGAGUGUUUGAAAAUCAGAAACAUCUUGUUCCAUUGUGUUUUCUGAUUCCCCUGUUUUCUGCCAGUAAUUUUUGGUAUUUUUGGUUUUCAAGUGGUAAUAUCUGGAUUGUGCUAUCGGAUUAACUGUUACUGUUCGUUCCGAAUUGUGGGUUUUUCAAAAUCUGUCCCGCGGGUUUCAGUUGUUGGGUUUUGCUGGUUAUUACUAAAAGUUGGUUUCAUCCGUUACUGUCGCUGCUGCUCUGUUGUUGCUGCUUAAUUCUCAUCCUCCUUUUCUUCUUGUACUCCUAAUACUAGGUACACUACUUUGAAUCAACUCGAUGUAUGUUCAUUGAAGGUCAAAUGAAACGGCCAAAAGGAUUUAUGAUUCAACUAAUGAGAACCUGUAUUUAGUUAAUCUUUGUUAGGUAUUUUCCUAUUAUAUUAGUGAUAUAUGUAUGCAUAAUUAGGACUGUUCUUUUAUAAGAUCACUGUUUAACAAUAAUAUGAUGUGUGAUGUUAGAUUAUGGAACUGAAAUUCUUGAAAUGGCAUGAACAUUAGUCAGCAAAGUAUGUAAUCUUAAAUUGAGCAAUUUGUUAGAUUGUUAAGCUAGUGGAUGUGUUCCUGUAUGAACCUCAUAUUUAUUAGUUUCAGCUUUGUUAGUUCAUAUAUGUAGAAUAGUGUAGUUCAGAAUCACAUUCAAUUCGAAUUGAUGAUUAAUAAGUGUUUAGAAUUGUUUCGAUUUAGUCGAUUGGUGAGGUAUAAAUCUGAGCUCACGAAACUGGAAUAGAAGUAAUUGAAGUUUGGUGAUUUUGACUCUUGUUAGUAACAAAAAUCCGCUAGUAUUAGGCAAAUAUAAGUGGUCAUUAAUUUUAUAGAAUCAAUAGGUUUGACAUAUUUGAAGUGUGAAUCAAUAUAGUAAGGCUAAGAACCUUAAUCCAAUAGGUAUUAGUCGAGCAAGAUGAUUUCACAUUCAAGUUUAAUAAAUUUUCAAAUAAGCCUUAGUAAUUGAGGUUAAUUCUAGUUGUAAACAAUUAAUUCCAAUGGUUUAUUCAUCAAACAAUGUGGGCUUAAACUAGCUAUAGGAUAGUUAGUUUAUUUUGAUAAUAUUAUUCGUAGAUUCCAUACUCUAUCUAAUUUCAAAUUUCAGUAUUAUUGGCUUAUAGAAUAAAGCAUGAAAUAAUCUCCUUUUACGCAAGUUUGAAUGCAAUUUUUUGGUUGCAUUUGUUUAAUCUGAUUAAUAAGAGGCCCGAACUUGUAAACAUGUAAUUAAUUAGGACCUGUUAUUUUUUUAUUUUAGAGACAAACUUAAUAGAAGAAAAUGUAGUCACUUUUAGGAUUAUCCUAUUAAAAUAAACGGGAUGAGCCUCGCCAAAUAAAACGUAAAAGCGGCAGGGCCUCAAUAAAUGGAUAUAAUAAUUGGAUAGACCUUGGGAUCGGCCGAUUAGUGAAUUUCACAGUUUUUCCCCAAAAUAAUAACGCGUUAGUCUCUUUAGGCGCGUACUUUAAAUAACCUUACCUUCUUAAACUCGGGUGCACAUUUAUGUGACCCAAAUCUAAAUCUCAACGGAGUCAAAAUGUAUCGAUAACCAUGGGUACAUUGACUGUGAUGUGGUUCGAGAUACGUUUUCACAACGUUGCAAUUCUUCAUUAAAAUAAUAAUAAUAAUAACAAUUAUAAAAGCGGUAAAAAAGAUAUAAUUUGCACAAGUGCAUAUUUGUAUAAAAUCAGAUAAUUAAGCCUAAUAUAACAAUUGAGCGACUGUGCUAGAAUCACAUAAUUUGAGAAUGCCUAACACCUUCUCCCGGGUUAACAGAAUUCCUUAUCCGAAUUUCUGGUUCGCGGACUGUUAAACAGAGUCAUUUUUUCCUCGAUUCGGGAUUAAAAUCGGUGACUUGGGACACCAUAAAUAUCCCAAGUGGCGACUCUGAAAUAAAAAUAAUAAAUCCCGUUCGAUUGUCCUUUAACUGGAAAAAACUCCUUUACCUUUCGCGGGGCAGAAAAGGAGGUGUGACAGCUGUGGCGACUCUGCUGGGGACAAAGUAACCUAGAACCACUGUUUCAGGGUUAGAAAUUCGAGCUUAAAAUAAUUCUUGUAUUUGGCUUUCUUUAUUAUCUUAUGUUUAUUACAAUUUUUGGAUGUGCAAAAUAUUGCUUAUUACCGCUUUGAUAUUAUUUAAACUAUGUAUAUAAAUUGCUACGAAACCCUUUUUUCUGAGUUAUCUGAAAAUGGUGCAUACGUUCGCGUAGCCCGCUUUUUAUAAAAAUUAUACCAAUUAGAUCAAGGUUGGGCAAGCGACAAGGCCGGGCAGACUUUAGUGCUCCCGAUAUGUCGCCCCCUCCUCAGCCCCAGUUGUCCGCUCGGGUUCCCCAACUCUAAAACAAACACCUAUGUUUUAAACCUUGUAUAACAGAACCUCAUGCCGGAUCCCUAGUAGGAACGUUUAUUUUCAUCAUGUGUAUAUUGACUUAGGGGACUCAACACAGGGAUUGGGUCCGUCUAGGACAAGGCGACCUGAAGUGAAAAGACCAUCCUGCUGCAUCCUGUUUAUUUUAUGCAUUUAUUUGCUUCAGACUGGCAUGCUGACCGGCUUUGAAUACUGGAAAAUUGCAGGGAAAAAAAGAAAGAAAAAAAACUAGCAGUGUAGAGUGUUAAUUACAUGUUUUUAGAAAAUCAAUUUCCAAAUAGUGGCGGAACUCUACCAAAAUUUUGAGAAAAUGAAGAAAAAGGAGAAUUGUUUUUUUUAGUUUAGUUUGAUUUAUUUGAAAAACAAAAGAAAGGAGUCUUGUUUUCAAAUUUAGUUUGUUUUCUUUAUCGAACUAUGCCGGUUUGAUUCUUACAAAAUGUGAGAUAUGUAGCAGGCCUCAUCGGGUCCAACCUCCUCUUUGCUAAAAUAGCCACAAAAAAAUGUUAAAAUUUUAAUUUUCGUCAUAAAGAAGUCGGGUGAUGCUGUUUUUUGUCGAACAUAUCCGAAUGUUCCCGAAAGGGACGCCGGAACAAUGACUUUGCAUAAACAACUACCUUUGGGUCAUUUUUAGAUUGGGCCAGUUGACCCACACAUCCUUAAAAUCCUCGUCCCCGAGGCGCUGAAAGGCCGUAUUUGCAAUAUCAGAUUUUUAUUUUAAUUUGGGAAAAAACAAAAAUGUCAAAAUUUUAAUUGUUGUCAUAAAUAAGUUAGGUGGUGUCGCUUUUGUCAAAUAUAGUCGAAUGUUCCCGAAAGGGACGCCAGAAGGCUGACUUUACAUAAAUGGCCACCUGUGGUCAUUUUGUAGAUUCGGUUGGUUGACUCACACAACCUUAGAAUCUUCGUCCCCGAGGCGCUGAAAGGCCGUGUUUGCAAAUAUUUGGUUUUCUCUUUUGAAAGUAAGGAAAUAGUCAUAAAUAAGUCGGGUGGUGCUGUUUUGUCAGAAAUAGCCGAAUGUUCCCAAAAGGGACGCCGGAAGGAUGAUUUUUCAUAAGCAACCGCCUUUAGUCAUUUUUAGGAUUUGGCUGGUUAGCUAACACAACCUUAAAAUCUUCAUCCCCGAGGCGCUAAUAGGCCGUGUUUGCAAUACCAGGUAUUUUAUUUUUUUAUUUUUUAAAAAAGGGAAUCAUAAAUAAGCCGGGAUGAUGCAUGCGGUCGGAGCAAAAACAUGUUAGAAAUGGUUAACUGCCUAAGAGCAUUGCAUUCACCAACGUGCAAUUGCAAUAUCUGUUAAAACUCUAACUCUAACAAGUUUGUUGUUUUUCCAAAUUCAAUCAGUUAGUUUGUUCGAGCGUACUGGCACCAUACCAUUAUCAAACAAGCUCUAGCGCUGACAAGUUUGUUGUUUUUGCAAAUUCAAAUAGUUAGUUUGUUAGAGCGUACUGGCACCAUACCAUUAUCAAACACGAUCAAAAGGGCCUAUACCAUAAAGCAUGACUAGCUCAGAAAGCAGUGUUGAGUCGGAAAAGACGGCAAAUCAGAUGCUGAAGGAGGCAAUGGAAAAAAUGAGAUUGGAGAUGAACGAAAUGCAGCUAGCCUUGGCUAGGGCACAAAAGGGGCCUGAACCACCCGUUAAUCCUACUCUCCCACCAGAACACAAGCCUGAAUACCCUUCCCCCGGCCCUUCAACAAGCUUCCCAAGCCAUCACUACUAUCAGGGAAGAGAUGCCUAUGAUCCCCAAGCUCCACCACCCAAUCAGAACCCUCCUCUACCGAAUGGUCCUGUCUUUGUGGCCCCUCCCCAAGCCACAUUACAAAGAUCGUCUAGUGAACCACUGUUACAAACUCACGACACCUAGUAUUACCCUCCUGAACCCACUUUUAAAGCUCCUGAUCCACACACAUAUACACUCCAUUUUGGGAUCCCGGAGGAAGCUGAGAAAUCGAUUAAGAAUGCGGAACAGGAGGAAGUGAUUCGAAAAUUCAAAAUCUUGGAGCAAUCCUUCAGGAACAUGCACGAUUUAGGCAACAAAGUCAGUGUUGCCUACAAGGAUCUAUGCCCUUUCCCUGAUGUCCAAUUGCCGGCAGGGUUCAAGAUGCUAAAGUUUGAUCUACACGAAGGGCACGCCGAUCCUAUGGCACAUCUGCGUGGUUUUUGCAGCAAGAUGAGAGGAGCAUGUGGUAACGAUGAGCUGUUGAUAGCUUACUUUGGUCAAAGUCUGAGUGGGUCUGUACUGGAAUGGUACACAAGACAGGAUCCGAGCAGGUGGUACACAUGGGAUGAUCUAGCACAAGCAUUCGUAGGUCACUUUCAGUACAACCUUGAGAUCGUCCCUGACCGUCUUACAUUGCUGAAGCUUGAGAAGAAGCCUGGGGAAAGCUUCCGGGAAUUUGGGUUCCGGUGGAGAGAACAUGCAGCCAAAGUUGAUCCUCCGAUGAGAGAGGGGGAAAUGGUGGACUACUUUUUGCAAACUAUAGAGCCAACUUACUUUGGUCACUUGGUAACGUCGGUUGGCAAAUAUUUCAACAAGGUAGUGAAAAUGGGUGGUAUGAUUGAGAGGGACUAAGUCCAACAAGAUCUUGAGUUAUUCGGCGAUUAAAGCAACCACUCAAGCAAUCCAGAGCGGAACGGGAGGUGCGCUCGGAAGAAGAAAAGAGAAGAGGUCGCAACAGUAGAGGCAUGUAAUUGGUCCAGAUCGAGAGGUCCUUCCCCUCGCUUCCAAUCCAGACCCCACCACCCAAAUCACCGAAAUUACCCUCAACAAAAUACCUAUCCACCUCCACAAAAUAUACAUCUACCUCCACGAAACACACAUCCACCACCAACGACCUACAGGAAUCCUUCAGGGCCAGGUUUCCGCGGGAAUCAAGCUUUCAAAAAUGAAAGGGUACGGAGAACAUUCACUGAGUUGGGAGAAACCUAUACUUCUUUGUUCCACAAAUUAAGGCAGUUAGGCUUGUUGAGUCUUGUUGAGCCCAGAUUUCCAAAUCCCCUUCCCCAAAAUAUGGACCGCUUGGUAAGCUGUGAGUAUUGUUCAGGAGCUCCUGGAAUGAUACCAAGAAGUGUUGGAAGUUGAAAAAUGCAGUGCAAAAUCUUAUUGACAUCAACAAAGUCAAGGUUGAGACACUAGAGGCACCCAACAUCAAUCAGAACCCGUUGCCGGCACAUCAUGAAGCCCACAUGAUCGAGCUAGUGCACGAAGGAGGGGAGCUACGAAACCUCACAAACAGUGAUGAUGAUCCGUGCCGGUUCAAAAGAAAAGUCGACCAGUGAAAAAGUGGUGGUAUAUUUGGAAAAAGUAGACGACAAGCCAGUUAUGGUGUUGCGAUAAGGGUCCAGUGGGGCUGAUGUACAGUUAGUGCGGCCUAGGGCCAAUAACAACAAUUUGACGGUUACUCCUCUUCCCGCCUAGAGGGAGUCUUGGUAGUGGGCUCUGAUUUUUCUUUCUUGUUGUUUGGAUUAUUCUAGAGUUGUAAUCCAGUUGUUUUGUUUCGUAUUAAGAAAAAGUGUGAAACUCUGUUAUCCCGCAUUUUAAAAGUGAAAGUUUUCUCUUCUUAUUUUAUUUUCUUCUUUUCUCUUUCUGAACAAAUCUCUUAAUACAGGUUCUAAUGACAUGGCAUGCACGACGGAUAUUCAACCUGGUCUAAAAAAAUCAAUCUGAUUCUGAGCUAAUAGUACAAGAGGUAGAUUGAUGAUGAUGAGUGGGUCCAAACCCGAUUGGAGCAAUUGAGCUUGGUUGAUGAAAAGAUAUUGGCAUCGGUAUGACAUGGCCAAUUGUAUCAAAAAAGGGGAUGGCAGGAGCCAAUAAUAAGAGUGUGCAUCCUUAGAAAUUUGAAGUGGGUCAUCAAGUGUUGAAACGAAUCCUGCCGCAUCAGGCUGAAGAAAAGGGAAGUUCGCCCCGAACUGGCAAGACCAUUCAUUGUGACCAGAGUGUCAUCCAAUAGCGCUUUAUGUUUGAUAGAUGUCGAGGGAAGAUGUAUCGGCAUGGCUGUCAAUUCUGAUGCAGUCAAGAGGUAUUUUGUAUGAUUUCUUUGAUUAUAAUUGUUUAUUUGUUUGUACUUGGCAUUGAUCGGAGAAUGAAAUGAGGGAGGCAAUUUUUCUACUAUCCUAACACUUUAACCUUUGCUUCCCCCUUUUGAACCUUAUUUAUUCUUUCAUACCCCUCUUUUGGAAUCACUAAUGAAAAUGAAAAACAAAUAAUGAAAAAAGGAGAGAAGAAAAGAAAAGAAGGAAAAAAUGAUAACAAAUAAAAAACAAGAGAGAAGUCACAAGAAAAACAAAGGAAUCGAGUGAACUACGUUCAAACUGAUUCCUCAAAGAGGAUACGUAGGCGUCUCACGACUCAGCCAAAGUGUAAUAAAAACUCAAAAAAAUUCCCCAAGAAAGAAAACUGGGGCAGAAGUUAUAUUUUAAAAAUUUUUGGAAAAAGUUUGAUUCCAAGAGUUGUAAUGUUUUACCCAUCGAAGUUAUUUCGAACUUUUGAUAUCCUUUUCUUUUAACCCCACGCAAAAACACAUGUGUAUCUAAAAAAGACCUCCCGAUCAGUAUCCGAGAGGUGCUAAGUCAGCAAAUGAAAGACGAGAAUCAUAAAGUAAUCCCCGACCGAAAGAGGAUCAUGAGCUGAAGGAAUUGACAGCCAAAAGAAUCCCCAGUAGAGAGAAUCUUAUCGGUAACACUCCAGUCCCCAGCUAAGAAAAUGAAAUGAGAGAGUCUUAUCGGUGAAGACCUUCACAUGCACCAUAAGGCGACUAAGGCUGAGAGAAACAGAAUGAGAGAGUCUUAUGGUGAAAACCUUCACAGGAACCAUAGGGCGACGAGAGUUGAGAGAAAUGAGAGAGUCUUAUUAGUGAAAACCCCUCGAAGGGCACUAUGAGGCGACAAGAUAAGGUUGGCAGAAAGGUUCCAUCGAGGCAUCAAGCCAUGCAAAAAUGUGUUUCGGCAAAAGAGAUGGAUGCUUUCUUAUCCCCAGCAAAAUGAGGCCAUAAGAAAGAUUGAUUGAUAAAUAGACUGGGUUGGUUAGAUCCGGAAUGCACGACAUGAUCGUUGGGAUCGGUCAUACCAAUCAGAUAAGUUCUUUUUCUUUUCUUCUCCCCAGCAUUUGUUCACAAAGAGUUUAUUUCCCUAUCUUUUGAAGUUAUCACUUUUCAUUCCUUUGUUUAAAGACUUUUUUCCAGCAGUUUUUUUAGAAAGAUUUUUCAGUGCCUACUACCAGUUACCAAAAUGUUGCAAAGAAAAAUGCGAAUAUGACCGGCCGAAGAUAAGGCAAUAAAAUGAAAAGGAAGUUUGUUGCAAAACCAAAUGCUGAAUUGGUCUAGAUUCCAAGAGGACCAAAACGUUUCGGGGGAAGUAUGGAGAAAAACAGGAAAACAACAUUUGAGAAAAUUGUGGAUCAAAUUCCAAGAGGGUCCCCAGCAGAUCAUCGAGAUGUAGGAGCAUCCCGACAGAUUUUCGUCCAAGAUCUAAGAGGGUUGGACAACACAAAGCGGGGAAGGAAGAAAAGGAAAAGCCAUCCCCAGCAAAUAAUAUCAUCCCUAACAAGUUUUGAUAGUGCAAUGGAAUGAAGAGAAUGGAAAGGAGAAAGAGAAAAAACCAUCCCCAGCAGGAGUGACACGACCACUCAACACAUUUUAAAAUAAUGAAAUUUUCUUUGAUUUGAAGCAGGAAAAAGAAAUAUUAUUAAUGGCAGAAAGACACACCACAAAGAAGAUUACCAAAACUGGGGUAGAAAAUGUUCUGUUAUUUUCGAAAAUUUUCUCGGAGGAACGAGGAAAUCAAUUCAAAUUUAAAGGGAUAGUAAGAUAGCACAAUUUUAAGAAAAACAAUCGGAGGUAAGAUAAUUUCAAGUUUUAAAGUCGGGAGCCCGCCUGUAUAAUAGAAAAAUACCUUUCAGUUUUUAAAUUUCAAAAUUUGAAGUUGGGUCUAUCUGCCCUCGAAUAUGAUAUGAUGGGUCUAUCCGCCCUCGAAUAGGAUAGGAUGGGUCUAUCCGCCUUUGAAUAGGAUAGGAUGGGUCUAUCCGCCCUUGAAUAGGAUAGGAUGGGUCGAAUAGGAUAGGAUGGGUCUAUCCACCCUCGAAUAGGAUAGGAUGGGUCUAUCCUCCCUCGAAUAGGAUAAGAUGGGUCUAUCCGCCCUCGAAUAGGACACGAUGGGUCUAUCUGCCCUCGAAUAGGAUAGGAUGGGUCUAUACGCCCUAGAAUAGGAUAUGAUGGGUUUAUCCGCCCUCGAAUAGGAUACGAUGGGUCUAUCCGCCCUCGAAUAGGAUACGAUGGGCGCCCUCGAAUAGGAUAUAAUGGGUCUAUCCACCCUCGAUUAGGAUACGAUGGGUCUAUCCACCCUCGAAUAGGAUGUAAUGGGUCUAUCCGCCAUUGAAUAGGAUAUUUUGGGUUCAUCCACCCUCGAAUAGGAUAUUUUAGGUUUGUUCACCUUCGAAUAGGAUAUUUUGGGUUCAUCCGCCCUCAAAUAGGAUAUUUUGGGUUCAUCCGCCCUCGAAUAGGAUAUUUGGGGUUCAUCCGCCCUCGAAUAGGAUAUUUUAGCUUCAUCCGUCCUCGAAUAGGAUAUUUUGGGUUCAUCCGCCCUCGAAUAGGAUCUUUUGGGUUCAUCCACCCUUGAAUAGGAUAUUUAGGUUUGUCCACCUUCGAAUAGGGUAUUUUGGGUUCAUCCGCCCUCGAAUAGGAUAUUUUGGGUUCAUCCACCCUCGAAUAGGAUAUUUUAGGUUUGUCCACCUUCGAACAUGAUAUUUUGGGUUCAUCCACCCUCGAAUAGGAUAUUUUGGGUUCAUCCGCCCUCGAAUAUGAUACUUUCGGUUCAUCCGCCCUCGAAUAGGAUAUUUUAGGUUUGUCCACCUUCGAAUAGGAUAUUUUGGGUNNNNNNNNNNNNNNNNNNNNNNNNNNNNNAUGUAAUCCUUCGAAUAGGAUAUUUUGGGUUCAUCCGCCCUCGAAUAGGAUAUUUUGGGUUCAUCCACCCUCGAAUAGGAUAUUUUAGGUUUUUCCUCCUUCGAAUAGGAUAUUUUGAGUUCAUCCGCCCUCGAAUAGGAUAUGUUGGGUUAAUCCACCCUCAAAUAGGAUAUACUUGGUUCUAUCCGCCCUCAAAUAGGAUAUACUUGGUUCUAUCUUUCCUCGAAUAGGAUAUGAUGGGUCUAUCAGCCAUCAAAUAGGAUAUUUCGGGUCUAUCCGCCCUCAAAUAGGAUAUGAUGGGUCUAUCCCCCUCAAACAUGAUAUUUUGGGUCUAUCUGCCCACAAAUAGGAUAUUUCGGGUCUAUAUGCCCUCAAAUAGGAUAUUUCGGGUCUAUCUUCCCUCAAUUAGGAUAUUUUGUGUCUAUCUGCCCUCAAAUAGGAUAUUGAAUUUAAUCCUUACUUAAAAGUACAUUUAAUUUAUUUCGACCCGAGUGGUCCUGCUUGUAUAAAUAUGGCCAAAAUAUAUAUUUCAUAGAACAUUGCCAAAUGCACUUUAUUUUCAAAGUUGUUGAUGAAGUUAGGCGUCCACCUGUAUAAUGAGAGGAAUACAUUUCAUGUCUUAGCUAAUUAGGCGCCCACCUGCAUAAUAAGAGGAAUACUUUUCGUGUCUAUUUAUUUAGGCGCCCACCUGUAUAACUAGUGAAUAGUUUUCAUGUCUUUUCAUUUAGGCGCCCACCUGUAUAAUGAGAGGAAUACAUUUCAUGUCUUAGCUAAUUAGGUGCCCACAUGUAUAAUGGGAGGAAUACUUUUUAUAUCUUUGCAUUAGGCGCCCACCUGUAUAACAAGGGAAUACAUUUCAUGUCGUUACAUUAGGCGCCCACCUGUAUCAUGGGAGAAAUACAUUUCAUGUCUUUACAUUUUAGGCGCCCACCUGUAUAACGAGGGAAUACAUUUCUGUUUUACAUUUUAUGUCUUGAAAUGAGCAACCCACGGAAGGCAGAAAGUUACAACAAAAAAAUCCCCAGCAUAAGGAAGGAAGACGUAUCCUCAGCGCACGGAACAAAAUGAUGAAAUUGGUGUUCAGAAAGGUAAAAGGCCAGUGUCAUCCCAACAGUUUUCGGCAGAAAGAAGCACCAAAGGAAAUACAAGCCGACAAGAAAGCAAGGCAGCAAGAACAAGUUGAAGAUAAGAUCUUGUGAUAUGUAGUCUAGCCUAGCUUCUUGUUUUCUUUUUGGAACGGUGUAAUAAGGAGAUCGGUAAAGCAGUAGUAACAACAUGCAGCAGUAGUAACAGCAAAAUUGCAGUCCCGCAGUAGUCCCAGCUACCAAAACGUUACGAACUACAUUAACCUGAUUCCCUUUUAGCCAGGGAUAUGUAGGAAACCUUUGAAGCGAAGGUUCGGUUAAAUCUUUCAAAAAAUGCUUCACAUGGAGUACUCAAACGGGCAAAAAUCGCUCGUAACCGCUCACUUUAUCUUUGCACGUAAACUCUUCGUGCUUUCAAACAAAGAGGGGCAGUUGUGAACACAUGAUUUUUGUUUUCACGACAAUUACUCCAAAAGAAAUCAAAAAAAUAAAACAAAUUGUCUUUGCGUAUAAUUUUUAGAAUUUGCGUGGCAUUUCAGACAGUUAUUUGUAGUUUUAUCUGUGAUUGUUUAUUUUUUUAAAUUAAAAAUACAAAAAUACAUGUUGCAUGCAUAUUUAGGAUUUAAUUGUGCAUAUAGGAAUUAAUUAAAUCAUAAUUUGGUUUUAAAAAGGGAAAAUAACAAAAAUAUGCAUUUAUUCUAUUUUUGUAAUUUAAAUGUGCCAUUGUGUGAUUUUAUUUUAAUUGAAUAUUUUAACUUGUGUGUUAAUUGUUGUUAAGGGUUAAUUAAUAUUUUGUAGUUUUAAAUUUUUUAUGUUACAAUUUAAUUAGGAAUUUUGUUAAUAUGAAUGAAAAAGAAGAAAGAAGUGAAAAUAAAGGGAAACCAGACUGGGUCAUUGCAAAUUGGGCCAAAACCAGUCCCAAGUCUCACCAAGACGCGUCCCAGUCCAAGCCACCUCUAAUACCCACUAUACAACCCCGUUUUGAUGUGAGUUAAUCGUAGCCAUUGGAUGCUAAUCCUCCAACGGCUUGGAUUGGAACUUAAAUUUUAAUACCCAAACCACCAAACCCUAAACCCAAUGUCAUUUGUUACGCCCUCUCACCCCCUUCGUCUCUCUCAAAUGAACCAAACACCCCACCGAAACCCUAGCGCCGCCCACCAUACCCCCCCGCCCAAAAACCGGCGGCCAGUGCUCCGUUCACCGCCAAGAUCACACCCUAGAACCCCCAUGACCUCCCCGUCCCAAAUCACCAACCGACAUCCUCCGAAUACUGCCAGAAUUACUCGAAUCUUAGAUCGUAGGAUGAACACCAAAAUACCCAAAUGUCGAACAUCGAAGUUUCAAGGCUUUGAGGCUGAGAUAGACUUUAAUCGGGUGUUUUUUGUCGAAAACAUGCGAUUAAGGUCCGUCUCUGUCCGAGAUAAGGGGCAUAUCAAAGUUAAAGACAAGAGGUUCGAGCCCUGUUAUCUUGGUGGUCUCAUUUUUAGGUAUUUCCUUGUAUUCUCCUCUUCUUCUGUGUCGUUUUAAUUUGUCAUUUUUAUGCGUUAAUUAUCUCGUCCUCUUCUCCGACCUUUUUUUUGGUCCAAAUUUUCGUUUGUUAAUUAUCAUAUGUUAUAAAUGGUUUAAUCGAUUAAAUAAGUGUCGUCGAUUAGUCCAUUAUGUUUGAGUGUUAGCGAUGUUGAUUAUGUUAUAAUGGUUUAGUUUUCGGUUUUUGAUUUCAUAGUUCAUUCUAGUCUGUUUCUCAUCAUGUUGUGUGUUGGAAAUGAGCCUGAUGAUAUGUUGGAACUUAGAACUGAGCCUAUUGAUAUAUUUAGUUCAUCUCAUGAACUGAAUUAAUUGCUCAUUUUGUCUUGUCAAAUUCCCUUAAUGCUCUUCUGAUUAUUUCUUCUUUUGUUUUCAAAUUCGAUUGGGUGUAUAGUUGGUUCACUUGUUUCUGUUAUAUGUAAGAUUGGUUCCCCAAUAUAGAUUAGCUUAAUGCAUGCUACCAUGAACACUUGCUCUUCAUGUUUGGUGCCAUUUUUUAUUUGAUUUGAAUUACUGAUUUUUUUAUUAAGGAUUGGCUAUAGCAGUUAAUUAGAGAAUGGUUAUAGAUAAUUAGAGUGACAUGUGUUGGAAAUGAGCCUGAUGAUAUGUUAGAACUUAGAACUGAGCCUAUUGAUAUAUUAAGUUCAUCUCAUGAACUGAAUUGAUUGCUCAUUUUGUCUGUCAAAUUCCCUUAAUGCUCUUUUGAUCGUUUUUUCUUUUGUUUUCCAAUUUGAUUGGGUGUAUAGUUGGUUCACUUGUUUUUGUUAUAUGUAAGAUUGGUUCCCCAAUAUAGAUUAGCUUAAUGAAUGCUACCAUGAACCCUUGGUCUUCAUGUUUGGUGCCAUUUUUGAUUUGAUUUGAGUUUCUUCUUUGAAUUACUGAUUUUGGAUUAAGGAUUGGCGAUAACUAUUAAUUAGAGAAUGGUUUUAGAUAAUUAGAGGUUUAGUUCUGUUUGCUGAUGUUCUGAACCAGAACAAUAGCAGUCAGUAGGAUUCAGGCAGUCAGUUCAUCUCAUGAACUGAAUUGAUUGCUCAUUUUGUCUGUCAAAUUCCCUUAAUGCUCUUCUGAUUGUUUCUCUUUUGUUUUCCAAUUCGAUUGGAAGUAUAGUUGUUUCACUUGUUUCUGUUAUACGUAAGAUUGGUUCCCCAAUAUUGAUUAGCUUAAUGAAUGCUACCAUGAACCCUUGGUCUUCAUAUUUGGUGCCAUUUUUGAUUUGAUUUGAUUUUCUUCUUUGAAUUACUGAUUUUGGAUUAAGGAUUGGAUAUAGCUGUUAAUUAGAGAAUGGUUUUAGAUAACUAGAGGUUUGGUUCUGUUUCUGAUGUUCUGAAUCAGAACAGUAGUAGUCAGUAGGAUUCAGGGGGUAAUUUGGGAAUUGAAAAAUGAGAAAAUGAUCGGUUUGAAAUAGCCUGCCAGUUGAAUGGUUUGGGGGCCAUUGAACCAUUGAAUAAUUUAAUUAAAAAGGAGGUACUGUGGGGUCCAUGCUGACUGCUUUUACUUAAUUGGACAUCAGAAAUAGUAUAGGUAAUAAUAAAAGUUAAAAAAUACACAUAGUUAGAGGAAUAUUGGGUUGGAAAGUAAAAUGGGUAGUAAUAAUCGGUAAAAAGAAAAAGAAAAUUGACUGAAAAGGGGACCGCUGCCUUUGACAUAAAAUAGGGGUCAUUUAACACUUAAUGGGGAGGAAUUUUUUGAAGGAGAAUUUCAGAACUUAAGAGCUUAGGACUGGAUUUUGAAGAUAGAAGUCCAGAGUUUAAAGAGUGAAUUGAGGCUGAACUUUGCACACAAAGAAAUUUUUUCAAAGUUUAAGUUAAAGGACUGAAUUUUAACAUUAGAAAAUCCAGUAAUUUGAGAGAAAGGAACUGAAAAGUGAGCCCCUUUCUGUUAUCUGAAAAUCAGGAUAGCUUGCUACUGUAUCAUUGAAGCUUCACUUCUUUAUUUGAGUGUUUGAAAAUCAGAAACAUCUUGUUCCACUGUGUUUUCUGAUUCCCCUGUUUUCUGCCAGUAAUUUUUGGUCUUGUUGGUUUUCAAGUGGUAAUUUCUUGAUUGUGCUAUCGGAUUAACUGUUAUUGUUCAUUCGGAACUGUGAGUUUUUCAAAUCUGUCCCGGGGGUUUCUGUUGUUGGAUUUUGCUGGUUAUUACUGCUUAAAAGCUGGUUUUAUCCGUACCGUCGCUUCUGCUGUGUUGUUGUUGCUUAAUUCUCAUCCUCCUUUUCUUCUUGUACUCCAAUACCAGGUACACUACUUUGAAUCAACUCGAUGUAUGUUCAUUGAAGUUGAAAUGAAAUGGCCCAAGGAUUUAUGAUUCAACUAAUGAGAACCUGUAUUUAGUUAAUCUUUAUUAGGUAUUUUCCUGUUAUAUUAAUGAUAUAUGUAUGCAUAAUUAGGACUGUUCUUUUAUAAAAUCACUGUUUAACAAUAAAAUGAUGUGUAAUGUUAGAUUAUGGAACUGAAAUCCUUGAAAUGGCGUGAACAUUAGUCAACAAAGUAUGUAAUCUUAAUUUGAGCAAUUUGUUAGAUUGUUAAGCUAGUGGAUGUGUGUCUGUAUGAACCUCAUAUUUAUUAGUUUCAGCUUUGUUAGUUCAUAUAUGUAGAAUAGUGUAGUACGAAAUCACAUUCAAUUCGAAUUGAUGAUUAAUAAGUGUUGAGAAUUGUUUCGAUUUAGUUGAUUGGUGAGGUAAAUCUGAGCUCAAGAAACUCGAAUAGAAGUAAUUGAAGUUUGGUGAUUUUGAGUUUUGUUAGUUACAAAAAUCCGCAAGUAUUAGGCAAACAUAAGUGGUCACUAAUUUUAUAGAAUCAAUAGGUUUGACAUAUUUGAAGUGUGAAUCAAUGUAGCAAGGCUAAGAACCUUAGUCCAAUAGGCAUGAAU